GAACCACGACCUACCUCCCAUCUCCACCUCCAGCGCCAGCGCGCCGCCACCCCCUGCCACAGCGUCGUGCGCCGCUGGCCCUGACUCCUCCAACGCUCACCGCCAGCCCUAAUGCCUCCGCCGAGCGCCGCCAUCGCCUACCCCGCCGCCGCUCGCACCCCUACCCGAAGUUCCCUCGAGGCCCCCACCCCUGCGGCUUUGCACCACCGGUGAUAGUCUACGCCGGUGCCGCACCUUCCCCUAACUCCUCUCUCUCCUCCUCCUCCUCUGCUGCAUCCACUCUCCAUUGGUCGGUCAACUCCCUCGAGUCCCAUCCCUCCCUUACGCACAGGAGUGCCUCCUGAUCCUUCCCUUUCUCUGUGUGUGUGUGUGUGUUCGAUCCGGAUCCACCCCUUUUCUGUGUGCAGCACAAAGGAGAGCUCGCUGUUGUGGUGGGCCUUGACGGUGGCAAGCUGGAGCCAGCUAGGUCCUAUCCAACGAGGGUCGUCAUGGCCUCCACCUUUGCCCUGUGACUGCGUCGCGACCAUGACCACUACGUUGACAAUAAAGGGCAAAUCUUCCCAACAAAAGGCAUACCAGAGGCCUCUCUUUCAAUGUCUGAAGAUUGGUUAUCUCAUAACUGGCCAUCAGAGGGAGAAUUUUUCAGCUUCAUAAUCUCCUUGUAAAUACCAUCAUCUCUGUUCCCUCAUGCCCACUUCUUUUACAUAUUUACAUUUUUGUGUUGGCAUGUUCUAAAGCAGCUGCACUUUUCUUGUCCUUGUGAGUAAAUUGUCAGAAAUCUAAAGUCAUGGGCAAAUGAAUUGUUUGAUUCAGUGCUUUGCCA